rnacentral:rRNA from 1 species
GAUGAACGCUGGCGGCGUGCCUAAUACAUGCGAGUCGAGCGAACGGACGAGAAGCUUGCUUCUCUGAUGUUAGCGGCGGACGGGUGAGUAACACGUGGAUAACCUACCUAUAAGACUGGGAUAACUUCGGGAAACCGGAGCUAAUACCGGAUGAUAUUUUGAACCGCAUGGUUCAAAAGUGAAAGACGGUCUUGCUGUCACUUAUAGAUGGAUCCGCGCUGCAUUAGCUAGUUGGUAAGGUAACGGCUUACCAAGGCAACGAUGCAUAGCCGACCUGAGAGGGUGAUCGGCCACACUGGAACUGAGACACGGUCCAGACUCCUACGGGAGGCAGCAGUAGGGAAUCUUCCGCAAUGGGCGAAAGCCUGACGUAGCAACGCCGCGUGAGUGAUGAAGGUCUUCGGAUCGUAAAACUCUGUUAUUAGGGAAGAACAUAUGUGUAAGUAACUGUGCACAUCUUGACGGUACCUAAUCAGAAAGCCACGGCUAACUACGUG